UGAGGUCAGAAAAACGUGAAGCUGUUGCCGAGGCCUGGGAAGUCAUGAGCGCUCCAUGCAGGAAAAUGGCAGGACCAGAUUGCAUCUGACUAAAAGACAUCACUUGAGUUCUGUAAGGCCUAAGCUGCUGCGAAAGAAGCUGGAUUGCCCUGUUGGAGAGACCAUGUGAAAAGAUAUGGAGAGACAGAAAGACCUAGAGACUGCAUGGAGGAAAAUUAAAGAAUCCAGCUGACAGAAAUCUGUGGCACCAAACAUACAACCCCAGUUAGGUUUUCCAGCCAACACCAGCUGUCUAAGCCACCCCAGCUGAGGUAUCAGACAUGUGAGUACAGAAGCCAUUUUGCACAUUUCACUCCAGCAGACAUCAUGUGAAGAGAGAUGAAUUCUCCACACUGUGUCCUGUCCAGUUUUCUGACACAGGAAACCAUGAGAAGUAAUAAAAUAUUUUAAGCCACUUAGUUUUGGCAUAUAGUUUGUUACACAGUAAUAAAUAACUGAAACAGGAAUGAA